rnacentral:rRNA from 1 species
GACGAACGCUGGCGGCGCGCCUAACACAUGCAAGUCGAACGGGAUCUAUUAGGAGCUUGCUCUUGGCAGAUCUAGUGGCGGACGGGUGAGUAACACGUGAGCAACCUACCGGGGAGUGGGGGAUAACGUCUGGAAACGGACGCUAAUACCGCGUGACAUUGGGGGAAGGCAUCUUCUCCCAAUCAAAGGAGCAAUUCGCUCCCUGAUGGGCUCGCGUCCGAUUAGAUAGUUGGCGGGGUAACGGCCCACCAAGUCUGCGAUCGGUAGCCGGACUGAGAGGUUGAUCGGCCACAUUGGGACUGAGACACGGCCCAGACUCCUACGGGAGGCAGCAGUGGGGAAUAUUGCACAAUGGGGGAAACCCUGAUGCAGCGACGCCGCGUGAGUGAAGACGGUCUUCGGAUUGUAAAGCUCUGUUGCAGAGGACGAUAAUGACGGUACUCUGUGAGGAAGCCACGGCUAACUACGUGCCAGCAGCCGCAGUAAAAC